GAAUCCUGCCAGUCCUUCCCGUUCCUCUCUCCCCUGUCACAGGUGCAGGAAAGCUGUCUGAAGAACCUGCACUACAUCCUGUCUCUGGCCUCUCUGUGCGCAUGGACCUACAGUACCUGCUAUGGCACUACGGCAACCUGAACAGUCCUGGUGGUACGGUGUUCACGGCUCGCUGGAUCCUGCCCCUGCUGUCUGUCUGUUUGGGGCUCCACUGGGCUGUGGCUGAAACCCAGAGGACAGCUUUAGGAACCUGGCUGAGCUGAUCAGCCUGGGCCAGCAAGCCCUCCCCAGGUUUGCCUUCUCUCUGCUGGGCCUAGGGCUGGCCCUGCUCUGGCUGGACCCGCUCAUCGUAUUCAUCAAGACCAGGGCAGCAGCCCCUGUCCGAGGCCCUUGAUCGAUCCCCCCACCCCGCUACCGGGACAGCAUGGGCAUCAGCCCCCAGGCAGAGCUGCACCACCUCAUCCCCCAGCUCACCAGCGCAUGCACUGCUCCCUGGAGGACGGAGAACCAGCCAAGGUUCCUUAGGGGGACGACCGGCCUGCCGUGGAGGCCUACGGGCUGGGUACGGUCUACUCGGCCCCCUUGGUCCUGCUGUGUGGCCUGAUGGGCCUGCUUCUGCUGCAUCCAGAGGGCAUGUCCCUGUCCUUCCUGCUGCUGCUCCUGGAGAUGAGAGCCCUGCUGCAGAUACAGGCCUCCUCCACUACCCUCAACGCCCUGCAGGGGACACACUCGUAAACUGCUUACAGUGUGAUCAGUUGUCUGACUAUUUGGUGGCUUUGCUGUGCCCUGGACCCCGGUAGUCCUGUGGUCCCUGGCUUCCACUCAGUUCUUCCAUGCCACAGGCCAUCUGGCCACAUUCCCCCACCAUCCAGUAGGCUGCUGCUUUCGUGGGCUUCCCCUGUGGGCACACAGGCACCAUACUUCCGGCUUCACUGGUCACCCUCAACACCUUCUCCUCACACAUCCUCUUUGCAGUGGCUUUUCCGUUGCUCCUCCGCUGGUGUGUGAGGUGGGCGGGGGACGAGGAGGAGGAGGCGGUGGGGAGGAAGGAGAGGACAAUGCUAUCAUGGAGAUGAGACUGAGGUAGAGUCCCCAGCAGUUCAGUUCUGCCCUUCUACAGCUUGCAACACGCUCCCUCUUCAUUAAUGGGGCACAGGUAAACACACACACACCCCUGCGAUUGACUCAGGACCUCCUCUCCCCUCUGCUCAUGUCUUUGCAUCAGUCUGUGCAGCUGUUAUCCUCAGAAGACAUCUAAUGUUGUGGAAUGUUUUUGCACCCAAAUACUAUUGAUGUUCAAGGCCUCAGGGUUCCUGGUGAGCAGUGUGUUUGUUCUUGUGGGGGUGACCCACGUGAUGAGAGUGGCCAUGGCAGUGGGCCGUUGGUUUAAGAGACUUCCCUGACAUGCCCAGGUAGCGCUGCUCAUGCUCCUGCUCCUGCACUGUUGCAACUGACCAGGGCUCACUCUAAGGUAUCCUACACUGUACAUCCCUAUCUGGUUCUAGGGGCGAGGCAAGGGGGGCACGAGGAUGAACAGAGGUGAUCGGGGGAAGUCGCCAUAAGGACAGCCAUAAAGAUCUGCCAUAAAAGAUCUGGAGAGUGUGAGAUGUUUGGGUGACUUGUCCUCUUAAACUCAACUUCAGUGUAGGCUGUAUGUUGUCAGCAAAGGUGCUCUCUCCUCUUGCUCUGUCAGAGCAAACGGAGCUCAAUGGAACUGGAUGGUGCAAUGUUUUAUGUCCAUCCUCAAAAUGAUCAACUCUAAAACCAUUGAAGAACAUCUAUAAUACUCCACUGUAUGUUCCUUGGUCAUGUAUGGGACAGAUCCAACCAUUACUCUCCGUUGUAUUACCUAUCGGGUGAACAGAUAUCGAGGCUGUUUACAGAGUGGAUAGGAAAGGAACCUAUGAGACCCACAAUGCUCUCUUGCACAUACUCAGUUAGGUGAGACGGGUCAAAAAGAAAUGCGUGCAUAAUGUGCAAAAGCAAUGAAUUAACCCAUCCCUGCAACGUGCAUUAUGUCUGUCAAUAACUUAGUUCAUCGCUAAUAAAUAGUUUAAUUCAUAACAAUGAUUUCUAAUCACAAAUAUACAGUAGUCUUACAUGGGCCAGUUAAACACAUUUUCCCUGGGACAGGUGCCCAGCUUUAUUGAAUGCCUUGUGUGAUGUGUUGGAUAAAAUAAAUAAAUAAUAAUAAUCCAGGACAUAAGCAUUGACUGUUUUGAUUUAUUUCUCUGUGGUAGGUACAGUGUGCUGUAGGUUACCGGACAAAGACAUUUUACAUUUCUCAGCUAUAGUCUGAAAUGCAUGAAACAGAAAGUUGAGCUCAGGUUGAAUUAGCCCCAAUGCAAUAGAGCUGCCUUGCUCAAGCUGUCUAAGUGAAUGAUUUAUGCCUACUUCUCAUGGUGGCAGGUAGUGGGUACUAUAUUUAUGCCAAUCUGAGUGAUAUUGGCAUGCCUUGUUAUGAGUACUGAUGAGUGGAAAUAGGUUCAGUUGGCACAGAUUUUGUUUGUCAAAUGUUUUCUUUUUAUAUAACCUUUGUUUAAUAUAACCAAUGAAGUAAAUUGAUCUUAUUGUGAAAAUCAAAUUAAAUAUUUUGUACAUUA